GUUUUAGAGGAUGAUCAGUCACAUUGGAAUUGAGACACGGUCCAGAUUCCUACGGGAGGCAGCAGUGGGGAAUAUUGGACAAUGGGCGAAAGCCUGAUCCAGCCAUGCCGCGUGUGUGAAGAAGGCCUUCGGGUCGUAAAGCACUUUAAGUUGGGAGGAAGGGCUCAUAGCGAAUACCUGUGAGUUUUGACGUUACCAACAGAAUAAGCACCGGCUAACUUCGUGCCAGCAGCCGCGGUAAUACGAAGGGUGCAAGCGUUAAUCGGAAUUACUGGGCGUAAAGCGCGCGUAGGUGGCUUGAUAAGUUGGAUGUGAAAUCCCCGGGCUCAACCUGGGAACUGCAUCCAAAACUGU
rnacentral:rRNA from 2 species